rnacentral:lncRNA from 1 species
AAAAAAAAAAAACAAGAAGAAAGGGCUGAAACUCAACUGAAAGUGGUGUUUACAGUUCCGGUUUCAUUCACUCGGUUUCAGUGUUGAGAAGAGGAGAGAAUUUACGGUGUUGUUUUGUUUUUUCUCUUUGUAGGCACCAAUUUAAGUGUAGUUAGUAGCAAAGCAGCCAGCACUCCCGCGUUUCUCUUUCUCUUGUCACAAUCUAUGCUAUGAAGCCCAUCCAGAUAACCAUAUAUUAAAAUGAAUCCAAAUCAAUAUGAAUAGAUCUUAAUCAUUCUUCUCUUCCUUAACAUUAGACUUUUUAACGGAAUUGCCGCUAAAAAACUUUGAUUUUUUUGAGCCAUUAGGUUUCUUUUCCGAUGGCUGUUUUGGAAGAUUGGGUAGAUUUCUAGUGAGUGAUUGAAUGAUUAUUAAGAGGAAGUUGAGUUACGUCAGAUUCUCCGUUAAUCCAAAAUUGAACAAGUUCUAAAAAAUACCAUGUACAAAUUCUCAGCACCAAAACAUAUAAACGAGUUAGAAACAUGAGGCAGGAGGAAGAAGUAACACCCUGUAGCAAAGGAGAGAACACUUUGGAGUUUGGUUUCAACAGUCCCGCAUCGAUGGUUUUGA